GUGAGUCAUCGAAUCUUUGAACGCACAUUGCGCCCGCCAGCAUUCUGGCGGGCAUGCCUGUUCGAGCGUCAUUUCAACCCUCAGGCCCCCCCCAGCGGGGGGCCUGGUGUUGGGGACCGGCCACGGCCGCCCCCCAAACGCAGUGGCGACCUCGCCGCAGCCUCCCCUGCGCAGUAGCACAAGCUCGCACCGGAGCGCGGAGACGGUCACGCCGUAAAACGCCCCAAACUCUCAGAGUUGACCUCGGAUCAGGUAGGAAUACCCGCUGAACUUAAGCAUAUCAAUAAGCGGAGGA
rnacentral:misc_RNA from 1 species